rnacentral:rRNA from 1 species
AGCGGCAGGCCUAACACAUGCAAGUCGAGGGGUAACAGGAAGUGCUUGCACUUCGCUGACGACCGGCGCACGGGUGAGUACCGCGUAUACAAUCUGCCUCAUACUAGGGGAUAGCCCGAAGAAAUUUGGAUUAAUACCCUAUAGUAUCUUUUUAAGGCAUCUUAUUAAGAUUAAAGGUUACGGUAUGAGAUGAGUAUGCGUUCUAUUAGCUAGUAGGUGUGGUAACGGCACACCUAGGCUACGAUAGAUAGGGGCCCUGAGAGGGGGAUCCCCCACACUGGUACUGAGACACGGACCAGACUCCUACGGGAGGCAGCAGUGAGGAAUAUUGGACAAUGGGCGAAAGCCUGAUCCAGCCAUGCCGCGUGCAGGAUGACUGCCCUAUGGGUUGUAAACUGCUUUUAUAUAGGAAGAAAAACUUUCUCGUGAGAAAGCUUGACGGUACUAUAAGAAUAAGGAUCGGCUAACUCCGUGCCAGCAGCCGCGGUAAUACGGAGGAUCCAAGCGUUAUCCGGAAUCAUUGGGUUUAAAGGGUCCGUAGGUGGACAAAUAAGUCAGAGGUGAAAUCCUGCAGCUCAACUGUAGAACUGCCUUUGAUACUGUUUGUCUUGAGUUAUUAUGAAGUGGUUAGAAUGUGUAGUGUAGCGGUGAAAUGCAUAGAUAUUACACAGAAUACCGAUUGCGAAGGCAGAUCACUAAUAAUCAACUGACACUGAGGGACGAAAGCGUGGGUAGCGAACAGGAUUAGAUACCCUGGUAGUCCACGCCGUAAACGAUGGUCACUAGCUGUUUGGACUUCGGUCUGAGUGGCUAAGCGAAAGUGAUAAGUGACCCACCUGGGGAGUACG